UUUUGAUAGAACCAAGAUCAGAUGCAUGCGACAUACAAUAGUAUGGCUAGGUGCGCCAACCUGAGCCUGAUGGUAAAAAAUACAUCUAAUGGUAUAUAAAAAACUUGAAUAACGAUAAAAUUUCAAGAUCCAAUAUCUGAAUGUGCGCACCUAAUCAAACCCAAUCUGGCCGCAAGACCUUUUCUACAUGUGUAGUUUCUUUGUUUUUAUUAUUAUUAAUAUUCAUAAUGAAUUUGGAG
rnacentral:lncRNA from 1 species